UACGUAGGGUGCGAGCGUUGUCCGGAAUUAUUGGGCGUAAAGAGCUUGUAGGCGGUCUGUCGCGUCUGCUGUGAAAAUCCGGGGCUCAACCCCGGACUUGCAGUGGGUACGGGCAGACUAGAGUGUGGUAGGGGAGACUGGAAUUCCUGGUGUAGCGGUGAAAUGCGCAGAUAUCAGGAGGAACACCGAUGGCGAAGGCAGGUCUCUGGGCCGGUACUGACGCUGAGACGCGAAAGCGUGGGGAGCGAACAGG
rnacentral:rRNA from 1 species